rnacentral:piRNA from 1 species
UAGGAGUUGAACAUGGAUUUUCAGGGCCCUU